UACGUAGGGGGCAAGCGUUGUCCGGAAUCAUUGGGCGUAAAGCGCGCGUAGGCGGCCCGGUAAGUCCGCUCUGAAAGUCCAGGGCUCAACCCUGGAAAGCGGGUGGAUACUGCCGGGCUAGAAUCCGGAAGAGGCGAGUGGAAUUCCUGGUGUAGCGGUGGAAUGCGCAGAUAUCAGGAAGAACACCAGUGGCGAAGGCGGCUCUCUGGGACGGUACUGACGCUGAGACGCGAAAGCGUGGGGAGCGAACAGG
rnacentral:rRNA from 1 species